rnacentral:rRNA from 1 species
GAUGAACGCCGGCGGCGUGCCUAAUACAUGCAAGUCGAGCGAACGGACGAGAAGCUUGCUUCUCUGAUGUUAGCGGCGGACGGGUGAGUAACACGUGGAUAACCUACCUAUAAGACUGGGAUAACUUCGGGAAACCGUAGCUAAUACCGGAUAAUAUUUUGAACCGCAUGGUUCAAAAGUGAAAGACGGUCUUGCUGUCACUUAUAGAUGGAUCCGCGCUGCAUUAGCUAGUUGGUAAGGUAACGGCUUACCAAGGCAACGAUGCAUAGCCGACCUGAGAGGGUGAUCGGCCACACUGGAACUGAGACACGGUCCAGACUCCUACGGGAGGCAGCAGUAGGGAAUCUUCCGCAAUGGGCGAAAGCCUGACGGAGCAACGCCGCGUGAGCGAUGAAGGUCUUCGGAUCGUAAAACUCUGUUAUUAGGGAAGAACAUAUGUGUAAGUAACUGUGCACAUCUUGACGGUACCUAAUCAGAAAGCCACGGCUAACUACGUG